UAGACCGAAAGCUGCGUGCGCGUUCAGCACAAAACAAAUGAGAUUAGGCUCCGCCUACCGCGAUCAUUUGAAGACAAAAAUAAGCCCUCAUUGACAUUCAUGAGCAUGAAGAUAUUCAUAAUCCGGCCUUUUCAUUGGCUAAGAGCGUCAUUAAUACGCAAUUUCCCCGAUUCUUUGUCAUCGAUACUAGUGGUAUCGUGUUACAGAAUUAAUUAUUCAUUUGACCUCAUUACGUCAUCUAAUUUAUUCAUUCUGAAACUUUUCUUUCCACACAAAAAUGGACCUACGAACACUCCGGUUGAGUUUGAAGAACAAGAAAAACAGUAGAGGUCUACCCGGUACCUAUGGUUAAACAUGAUGAUCAUAAGUGCAUGCAUCAUUUUGCAGAUUCUCAUCCAGGAUGAUGCAGCUCUACAAUUUCCAUGGAGUUGAUUGAUGAUGAUAAACAAUUGGUGAAGUAGGCCUAAUAGAACAGUGAUAGGACCACAAAGAGAAAUACAACCUACAGCAGUUAUAUGAGACUGGUGUAACAGAUGUUUUCAUUCAAGAAAUCCAACAAAUUGACGAGUGACUUAGCUUAGGAAGCACUUGAUAAAGAUGGAAAAGUUUUUUUUUUUUCAAGUCCCUUUUUUUUUAUUUUAAAUACAACCCCAAAUUCAAAGUAUUGAAAUUUCCUGUUGAUUUUCAUUAAAACUGGUUGCAAAAGGAGAAGCUAUAAACAUACAAAUAGGAGCGGCGAAGUGAAGUUGAAAGUGGGGGGGGGGGGGCACAGGGAAAAUGCUGUAUUAUGUGAAAUUUUUAAGAAGUUGCGAGAGCAAAAUUUUGACAUUUU